UUUAUCUGGACAAUAGCUGUUGUCAGCUGAAUGAUUCUAAUUUAGACUUCUCUGUUUGAUGAACCCAACAGCACAAUCAGCAGAGCUCAAGCACCCCUUUAUCGACCCCACCUGCCAUGUUCCAAAUAUAUUCUUCACAUACCUACUUACUGCAGAGGUCGCCCUCCCCCUGAGGAACAAGGUUCCUGGCCAGCUUUCACGGGGAGAAGCGGUUCAAAGACGCUUGAGGACAGAGCAAGAAAAAAGGACCUGAGCCAGCACAAAACAUCAAAACACAUCCGAAGAAAGCAGAGCGAGACGGAGAAAAGAAAAGGAGGGGGAAAACAAAGAAACCUGAGCAGAGAUGCAGCAGACUGACCCCCAUUGUUCACCGAAAAAACUAACAGAAUCAUCCUGUAUCUUCACCCAGAUAAUAAUAAACCUUCCUCCGCACCGAGACAGGAAGAUAUAAUCAUCUGGGGAGAGAGGAAAGGCUCAAUGAACAGAACAAAAGAGAUUAGAUGCAAAUACAUUUUGCACACUGCAGCUCCAAGUGUGACAGAGGAAAGAGGAGACACCGAAGAGACAACACAGAUCGCAAAGAACAGAAGUGAGAAUAGACACUUUGGAGA